GCAGGGGUCGCCCAGCUUGGUCAAAGGCGCUGGGAUGAGGUCCCAGUCCGUAACGGUUCGCAGGUUCGAAUCCUGCCCUCUGCA
rnacentral:tRNA from 1 species